rnacentral:lncRNA from 1 species
CCUGUCUCUUUGCAACUUCAUAGUCAAUGGCAUCAUGUCGAUAGCUUUACAUUGGUCACAAUGUGAAUAUUUAUGCCAUGAGAAGUGGCAAAUGCUACCAGUCAGGGUUUUUAUUUUCCUUAAAGCCUGCUGUUCAACAUUUACCUGGGCAAACUGAUGUUUGCUACAGGCUGUAGCAUUUUCCUAGCCUGUUAAUGAAAAAGAAGGGAAAUAAGGAAGAAAAGGAGGGAGGGUUCGAGGGAAAUAAGAAGGAAAGGCAAGAAAAAGGGAAGGAAGAGGAGACGAGAGAAGAAGACAGAAAAGCUUUAAUCAGUAUAUUAACCUUAACGUGAUAUUUUUCCCCCCAGAUAACUGUGAUGCCCCUCUGGCAUCUGCCUUGCCCCGGGCUUCCUUCAGCAGCUCCUCAGAGCUGUCCAGCAGCCAUGGCCCUGGCUUUGCCAGUCUUAAUCGCAGAGAUGGAGCUGGUGGCUGGUCUCCACUUGUAUCAAACAAAUACCAGUGGCUGCAGAUUGACCUUGGAGAGAGGAUGGAGGUCACAGCUGUGGCCACCCAGGGAGGAUAUGGGAGCUCUGACUGGGUGACCAGCUACCUUCUGAUGUUCAGCGAUGGUGGGAGGAACUGGAAGCAAUAUCGGCGAGAGGAGAGCAUCUGGGUAUGUGCAUUGAUUGAAAAGAUAUCUGUCAGAGUAUGAAUGAUGCCUGUUGCUACAUGUUACUACAAAUUUAUCAGAUCAAGUAUGAAAAUAGAGCCUCCUAAAUUACUUGAAAAUGUUUCCAUCAAAUGUGAGCCCCAUGCAAUAUUCCAGAAUAUACUGUCCAUGUAUAAUUUUUGAAAGGAGUAAAAAACAAGUUUUAUAUAAUGUAGUGAGAUAUUGAAAAUGUCUUCCCAUUAUUCCUUUCAAUGAGGAGUAAAUAAGUCACAUACAAACUACUUUAUUUGUGUUUAAUAACAAACACAGAGGUUUGUAUUGCCUCAGCAUUUUUUAGUAAAACAAAUUCAUUUUCUCUAGGGCCUCCGACAGAGUGAAAUUUCUGAAGGACCCUGAACAUUUAGAAAUAGAUGUAAUAGACAGUCUUUCUAUAGAGGACUCAAUGAGGCAUGCGUUGAGUUCUUGCUCCACAAGGAACUUGGGUACCAUGGCACCUCUUGUAAUUCAUGGGCCAUAGGUCCCUAGGAUCUUUUGGAAUCAGAACUACUUUAAAUUAAUUUACGUCAGUGACAUAGUUUCUGCUUCUGAUUACACAUCCAUGUUCCUUUUAGGGGAAUUACAUUUUGUUGGUUUCACUUUUUGGAUAUUUAAAUAUAUGCACUCCAGUAUAGAGUUAGCAUUUCAUGUUAUUUAAAGAUCAUGGUCUGCUGUGAAUGAGAAACUCUAAGAGUAGAGUGUUGUAAAGAUCUGUACAGGGUUUGCAGCUGGCUGAUGGGACAGCUAGUGGAGGAGGUGGCCUGGAGACUUGUCAGGUGGAGAAGAAAUUACUUUGUUCUUGUUAUUAGAUGGCUGCCAGGAGCUGGGGGAAGGGAGGAAUGGACCGUGAGUGUUGUUUAAGGGAGACCGAGCGUCAGUUUGAGAAGUUGAAAGUUCUGGAGUUCCCCUUCUGGCUCAGCGGAAACAAAUCCGACUAAGAACCAUGAGGUUGCCGGUUCGCAUCCCUGGCCUGGCUCAGUGGGUUAAGGAUCCGGUGUUGCCGUGAGCUGUGGUGUAGGUCACAGAUGCGGCUCGGAUCCCGCGUUGCUGUUGCUGUAGCAUAGGCCGGUGGCUACAACUCCUAUCAGACCCCUAGCCUGGGAAACUCCAUAUGCUGUGGGUGUGGCCCUAAAAAGCAAACAAACAAACAAAAGAGAAGUUGAAAGUUCUGAAGAUGGAGAGUAGUGACGGUUGCACAACAAUGUGAAUGUUGAUGUUAUAGAAUUGUACACUUAAAAAUGGCUAAAGGGGUAAACUUCAUGUUACGUGUAUUUUAUCAAAAUAAAAAAAUAUACAGUAUAUCUUCCA